CCUCUCAACGUGCGCUCCUCUCAACGUGCGCUCCUCUCAACGUGCGCUCCUCUCAACGUGCGUGCCGUACAGCUGCUUGUGUGUUCUUCCGCCAAUGUGUUCCUCUCGACGUCCAGCCACUUCUGUGCCUGCCUGCCUGUCUUGGGGUUUUUACAGGCACAGGAUAGGGGACGUGGCAGGCCAGGUGGUCUUGGAAAAUGCAAACUUAGGCAUGAAAACAGGAGCGCUUGUCCUCACCUAUAUCCGUGUGCACAGGACCUGAGGUGAAGCCCUAGCCACGGACCUGCCCUUCUCUACCCAGCGCUUUCCUUCUCUCAUCCCGAGUCAGUACUGCCAGGCCAUACAAUCAAUAGUACACUGUAUUUGUCCACUGGAAGAACUACAAGAGAAGUGAGAAAGACAGAUAGAAAGAGAAAGGGGAAGGUGACUGUAACACAGAUUGAUGAAAGAUUCUGCAGGACGACAAAGGUUAAAGAUGCAGACCCGGAGCUAGAAGCCAGCACUGACACUGAUGGAGUGGACUGGGAUGAGAAUGCCCACAUUAUUGUCCUAUCCUCUGAUAACCGAUGUAAUAUGAAAACCGACUACAGAAGAAAGGAACAAAUUAAAUCCAUUAAUCAAGCAUA